rnacentral:lncRNA from 10 species
GUGUGUGCUGCGCGCACCUGAGGCCGACCUGUGAUUCACCGCGGGAGGGAUGGCAGUGACAACGCUCCGGGGAAGUCCACAGUGACUCCUCCGCCAGGACGCCGCUGGUUGUAUAGGAAAAGCACGCGGACGGGAAGCCACACUCACCGAAAACCUCAGUAAACUAAAUUUAUGAGUUUACAUCUGUUCCAUCAAUGACCACGGUGCACACCUGUUUGGCUUCAUGGCCGGCAACUACAGAUCUAGGUAUCCAAGAUCAAGAGGGACAAUUACAUAUUAUAAGCCGCACAGAGAAGAGUAAUCAAGGUGGACAUGAACUUGUGCUAUAUAAGUUAUGGGUUGAAGAACUCUGUGGAAAGUAGAGAAGAAAAAAUUUAGGGAACAAGCAGUAGUUGAAUACAGCUAUGUGAAACUAUGAGAACUAUGUGAAAGAGUGUUUGGAUCCAAAGAUGAAAGAGCUGACACAAGAGUGGAUUUUCUGAGAGCUGUUUGAGCAGAGAAAACUUGAAGGAGAUACAGUGAGUAGAACACAACCUGUAGGUGGUUUGAAGACCUGAGGACUCCAAUACCUCCCAACUCUCAUAUUCUCUAUAGUUUUUCUAGAAAAGCCCAUGUAUUGGGGCAUAACCUAUAAAGAUGAUAGCAACUAAAAUGGAUAAAUCAAUGACAUAAAAUGUUUAUUUCUUCUCUUGAUUAAAUGACAGAUACCCCAAUCUGCAGGCAUCAUAUGUUAUGACUGCCUCCACUCUCUGCAUUUUGAGAAAGCCUCUACAGAAAUUCUCAAAGGAAUGGGUAAAGACAUGAGUAUUUUUAACUACAUAUACUUUAAAUUUAUUUUUUUUUUUUGCAUUUAAAAGGCUUGAGAGGAUUUGGGUUGUAUCCAAACUGAAAAAAUAAAAAUAGGUUAAGUACAUGAGGAACCAGAAUGAAUUAAUAUAGUGAGCGAAAGUGGAUUGUACAUUCCCACACUCAUGAAGAUAAGAGUACAGAUGACACUGAAGUGUGAGUUGUCUUCUAACCUGUUUGACUUGAUUUGGUUACAUAUGAUUCAGAAGGCAGAGCAGUCGGUAAACACAAGAAUUAAAAUUGUCAAAACUACUGACAUUUUCCUACAAAAUAAUUAUAUGGGCAGAAACUAUAGUUGCGACUGCAGUAAAACUCAACUGCAGAACAAAGAGGGAACUGAGAUUACUGGAAAUUCUUAAGACUAUAGCUGGUCUAGGUCAAUAUAGAGAUAUUCAGCAGGAUUUUCUAUUGUGUAACAACUAAGCCUAUACAACAAUGGACAAGCUUUGUGGUUCAGAACUUUCAUUCAUUUAAUCAGGAUGACAUUGUUAGCCAUUGGUUUUGUAAGGUAAAUGAAACUAAAAAACAAGCUUGUCAUCCUACUGAAAUGCAAGCUUAGGAAGAAAUAAGUAUUUAAGAAAGGGUCAAAUCCUUCACUAUUACCUCCCCUUCUACAUACAAAAAAUGCCAGGUCCUUUUUACUGACUUGAAUUCUGUCUACUGCCCACCUGUUGACACAAGCCACCCCCCCCCUUUUUUUUUAGACAGAGUUUCACUCUUGUCGCCCAGGCUGGAGUGCAGUGGCGCGAUCUUGGCUUACUGCAACCUCUGCCUCUCAGGUUCAAGCGAUUCUCCUGCCUCAGCCUCCCAAGUAGCUGGGAUUACAGGCAGUCGCCACCACACCCAACUAAUUUUUUUGUAUUUUUAGUAGGGACGGGGUUUCACCAUGUUAGGCAGGCUGGUCUCGAACUCCUGACUGCAGGUAAUCCACCCGCCUCAGCCUCCCAAAGUGCUUACAGGCGUGAGCCACCACAGCCGGCAACACAUGCCCUUUAAGAAGGGGUUUUCUCCAGUCCACGUAGAACAAUGUUAAAAGAUAAUAUGCCUGGAGUCUUGUCUUGAACUUAGAUUCUAUGAAAAGACUUAGUUUUCUAGUGUGGAUGUGAAGUCUGCAAAGCUGUCAGCUCCCUGUGCAGGACACUCGGGCCAUGAGGCCAUGCCCAAUAAGACACUAAGUUGAGAUUUCCUAAGCACUCUACCUGAUCCUGGCCUAUUCUAAGGAUUUUGCCCUAAACUAACUUUGACAUCUUCCCAUCCCCAUUUUCAGGGCACCUAGAAGUGACUAGUUCCCUAGGGCUGUCCACACCUUCAAGUCCACUUUGGUCACCUUCUAAAUGUGGUCUUGAGAGUUUGAGGCUAGAACUGUGAACAGCAAACUGGCUGUCCUGAAUGAGCAAUCCUUGUAAUCAUUUUGUACAUCCCAAGAAAUAAAGUUUAAUACUGGGACAGAAAUGGGAAGAAAGUUACAUCAAUGAGGAACAGGUUGAAGAAAGCGUUUCUAAUAUUAUUAAACAAAUUUGCACUCACAAUGCUAAAA